CUGCAGCCUUCCAGGCUCCUCCGUCCCUGGGAUUCUCCAGGCAAGAAUACUGGACAUUAGAAAGUGGAAGUGGUGCUGGCCACCCUCCGGGCGUAGUUCUCUGCCAUCCUCAGGCACGCUGCUGCUACUUGGCCGCGUCCUGUGGCUGUUCUGCUUCACGCUGCCAUCUCCGUGCUCUCCUCCUCUCUUCCGUGCCAAUGGUAACAGCUGCUGCUGCUUGCUGCCUGCUUUCCCAGAUGCUUUUUAUGUGUAGGAUGGCAACAGGAGUAAGAAAGCUCUGGCGAUUUCAGAGACUCGAUGAACAACAAAAGAAAGCUUAGACUUGGAGUGUUCCACUAACAUUCUCACCAAUUUUCAGUGGCCUUUGGGGCUGGUUUCCAGUUUCCCACCAUCCGGGGAAUCUUACUCCAUGACUUGGCCUCUUUGCAUUCACUCAGUACACAACUGUUGCCAAUUUUGUUGAUGAGCUACAAUUCUAAAACUUCACUGCAGGAUAAUACAAGUGUUACCCUUUCUCAGUCUCUCCUUUUAAACAUGAUAGUGACUUUAUUAAAAUACACAACUAUGUAUACAGAUUGAUACAUAUUUACACAUGAGCACACCUAUAAUUAGACCCAGAUUGAAGACAGAAAGAUUCAUUCCUCCAGAAGGCUCCUUUGUAUUUCUUACCAGCCAACACCCAUAUCCAUUCACUCCUAUACCCACUCACCAUCAGAGGAAACCACCAUUCUGACUUUUAUUACUACCAGUUAGGUUUGCUUGGUCUUAAAUUUCAUAAAAUGGAACAUAAAGUAUUUUUCAUGCAUGUGUGAAAUUUCUUACCCAUAUAAAAUCAUAGCCUUAUACUUUGAUGUGUGAUGAUGGGGAAAUGGACAAUUUAAAUUAAAAAAGGAAAUGUAAAAAGGAAAAUGCUAAUUUUAUUGUUAAGCAAUAGUUUAAGGCCUGCUAUAUAAUAACUCAUGGAAUUCUCACAACCUUCUGAAUUGUGUGUUGUUAUUAUGACCAGUCAAAUAUUUAUAUAGAGAGACAAUAUGUCAGGUUCCCAAGAUCACAGAGGUGAUAAAUGGAGCAGCCAGGGUUCAGGCUUCAGAGCCUGUGCUCUUAGCAGCUAUCUAGCCUUAUAAUAAAAACUUGGCUUGGGAAACUUUUUUUGUUGUUUUUGGACAGGCUUCAGCACAUUUUUUUUUUUCUUUUUCUUUUUUCUUCUUUUUGGUGAAAGGCCAGCUAGUAAAUAUUUUAGGCUUUGUGGACAAUAUGGUCUCUGUCAUAGCUAAGUCUGCUGUUUGUAGGAAAGCAGCUAUAGAAAAUAUGUAAAUGAAUGGACAUAAUUGUGUUCCAAUAAAACU